rnacentral:rRNA from 1 species
AUUGAACGCUGGCGGCAGGCCUAACACAUGCAAGUCGAACGAGUGGCGGACGGGUUAGUAAUUUCUGGGAAACUGCCUGAUGGAUGGUGAUACCUACUGGAAACUGUAGCUAAUACCGCAUACCAUCGGAUUUGCCCAGAUGGGAUUAGCUAGUGGGUGGGGUAAAGGCUCACCUAGGCGACGAUCCCUAGCUGGGCUGAGAGUAUGACCAGCCACACUGGAACUGAGACACGGUCCAGACUCCUACGGGAGGCAGCAGGGGGGAAUAUUGCACAAUGGGCGCAAGCCGGAUGCAGCCAUGCCGCGUGUAUGAAGAAGGCCUUCGGGUUGUAAAGUACUUUCAGCGGGGAGGCGUUACUCGCAGAAGAAGCACCGGCUAACUCCGUGCCAGCAGCCGCGGUAAUUC